rnacentral:lncRNA from 1 species
CUUCUGCUUCUUCGCAGACUUCUUCUUCUUUUUCAAAAGACUUUUUCUUGGAAGAAGUCCGCUCUACAGUAAGGACUGAGCCUUUUGAACCCUUCAAAGAAAGCUUAACCGUAACCAACAUGUUCAUUAACUCAGCCAAGGUACACUACAUCUUAUGCAUAUAGAAGUUCAUGAUGAAUUGACCAUAUGCAUCAGACAAGG